rnacentral:rRNA from 1 species
ACGUAGGUGGCAAGCGUUGUCCGGAUUUACUGGGUGUAAAGGGCGCGUAGGCGGGUAUGCAAGUCAGAUGUGAAAUUUAUGGGCUUAACCCAUAACCUGCAUUUGAAACUGCGUAUCUUGAGUGAUGGAGAGGUAAGUGGAAUUCCUAGUGUAGCGGUGGAAUGCGUAGAUAUUAGGAGGAACACCAGUGGCGAAGGCGACUUACUGGACAUUAACUGACGCUGAGGCGCGAAAGCGUGGGGAGCAAACAG